UACGUAGGGUGCGAGCGUUGUCCGGAAUUAUUGGGCGUAAAGAGCUCGUAGGCGGUCUGUCGCGUCUGCUGUGAAAUCCCGAGGCUCAACCUCGGGCUUGCAGUGGGUACGGGCAGGCUAGAGUGCGGUAGGGGAGAAUGGAAUUCCUGGUGUAGCGGUGGAAUGCGCAGAUAUCAGGAGGAACACCGAUGGCGAAGGCAGAUCUCUGGGCCGUAACUGACGCUGAGGAGCGAAAGCAUGGGGAGCGAACAGG
rnacentral:rRNA from 1 species